CGGGGCAUGGUGUAAUUAGAUAACAUUUGCGCAUGGGGUGCGUAAGAUUCCGAGUGCAAAUCUCGGUGCCCCGAC
rnacentral:tRNA from 1 species